rnacentral:rRNA from 2 species
UGAUUGAAAGAUGGUUUCGGCUAUCACUUACAGAUGGGCCCGCGGUGCAUUAGCUAGUUGGUGAGGUAACGGCUCACCAAGGCAACGAUGCAUAGCCGACCUGAGAGGGUGAUCGGCCACACUGGGACUGAGACACGGCCCAGACUCCUACGGGAGGCAGCAGUAGGGAAUCUUCCGCAAUGGACGAAAGUCUGACGGAGCAACGCCGCGUGAGUGAUGAAGGCUUUCGGGUCGUAAAACUCUGUUGUUAGGGAAGAACAAGUACGAGAGUAACUGCUCGUACCUUGACGGUACCUAACCAGAAAGCCACGGCUAACUACGUGCCAGCAGCCGCGGUAAUACGUAGGUGGCAAGCGUUAUCCGGAAUUAUUGGGCGUAAAGCGCGCGCAGGCGGUUUCUUAAGUCUGAUGUGAAAGCCCACGGCUCAACCGUGGAGGGUCAUUGGAAACUGGGGAACUUGAGUGCAGAAGAGAAAAGCGGAAUUCCACGUGUAGCGGUGAAAUGCGUAGAGAUGUGGAGGAAC